UCACAGUUACUUCCAACACACAUGGCCUCCAUUCCCCUCCUCUCACCACCCACCACCGCCACAAACUCCGCCGUCAGCCACCUACCCUCCUCCAUCACCUCCACCUCCAGCUCCUUCAAACCCCACGCCCUCCACCGCCGCCGCCUCACGCGGCUACACGUGUCCUCUCCCACCUCCUCCACCCCUUCCCCCACCACCACGACCACCUCCGGCGAGACCAUAUUCUUCGACGGCGGGGCCCACUACGGCGACCUCGCGGCGAACCUCCUCCUAGGUUUCACCCUCUUCUGGCUCCC
rnacentral:lncRNA from 1 species